rnacentral:rRNA from 1 species
GACGAACGCUGGCGGCGUGCUUAACACAUGCAAGUCGAACGGAAAGGCCCUGCUUUUGUGGGGUGCUCGAGUGGCGAACGGGUGAGUAACACGUGGGUAACCUGCCCUUGACUUUGGGAUAACUUCAGGAAACUGGGGCUAAUACCGGAUAGGAGCUCCUGCUGCAUGGUGGGGGUUGGAAAGUUUCGGCGGUUGGGGAUGGACUCGCAGCUUAUCAGCUUGUUGGUGGGGUAGUGGCUUACCAAGGCUUUGACGGGUAGCCGGCCUGAGAGGGUGACCGGCCACAUUGGGACUGAGAUACGGCCCAGACUCCUACGGGAGGCAGCAGUGGGGAAUAUUGCACAAUGGGCGGAAGCCUGAUGCAGCAACGCCGCGUGCGGGAUGACGGCCUUCGGGUUGUAAACCGCUUUCGCCUGUGACGAAGCGUGAGUGACGGUAAUGGGUAAAGAAGCACCGGCUAACUACGUG